AACGAACGCUGACGGCAGGCUUUACACAUGUAAGUCGAGCGCCCCGCAAGGGGAGCGGCAGACGGGUGAGUAACGCGUGGGAAUCUACCCAUCUCUACGGAAUAACGCAUGGAAACGUGUGCUAAUACCGUAUACGUCCUUCGGGAGAAAGAUUUAUCGGAGAUGGAUGAGCCCGCGUUGGAUUAGCUAGUUGGUGGGGUAAAGGCCUACCAAGGCGACGAUCCAUAGCUGGUCUGAGAGGAUGAUCAGCCACACUGGGACUGAGACACGGCCCAGACUCCUACGGGAGGCAGCAGUGGGGAAUAUUGGACAAUGGGCGCAAGCCUGAUCCAGCCAUGCCGCGUGAGUGAUGAAGGCCCUAGGGUUGUAAAGCUCUUUCACCGGUGAAGAUAAUGACGGUAACCGGAGAAGAAGCCCCGGCUAACUUCGUGCCAGCCGCCGCGGUAAGAC
rnacentral:rRNA from 1 species